ACAGAGGACCGCAGUCAUGAGGACGGACUCCGGUUGUUCCGCAGAACCCGGAACUUUCCCCAAAGCCUCUGACCAGUGUUAGAGCGGACGUUACUGUCCUCCCCAGAGCAAAGUGGCCCCGCGACUGGGCGCUGGUGUCCCCUUGUGGCACAAUAUCCGGUGUUGGUGGAGCUGUCAAUUCCAUGCAAAGUCCUCAUCUGCCACAGACUCUAGAGGACACUCAACGCAUUUGUGGGAUCAUCACUUGGGUCUGGCCUUUGCUCGGCUUGACAACGCAAGAGCUGGCUCCACUGUUCUCCUUGCUGAAGAAAGACACUGACCCCACAGCCCCACGGACCCUGACACCAGAGGCAGAGGAAACAUUGCAGAAAGUAGCAGAGGCAAUGAGGACACAACAGGCUCAAAGGAUCAGAAAAAACCUUCCGAUUGAAUUUGUCAUCCUGGGUAAGUGCCCACACUUUCAUGGGCUCCUGUUUCAGUAGGACACAACACAGAAAGACUCACUCAUCAUACUCGAGUGGUUGCUUCUCCCACAUCAGCCUGUGAAAACAGUGUCCACACCAUCAGAGUUGCUAGCAAAAUUAAUUGUCAAAAGUCGCCAUCUCCUCCGAAGCCUCGCAGGCUGUGAUCCCUCAUGCAUUUACCUGCCUUUGAAGUUAGAUCAAUUGGACUCCUUGUUACAAACAAAUGAAAACAUCCAAAUUGCUUUAGAUAGCUAUCCCGGGAAAGUCUCAAUUCACUACCCAAAGCACAAACUAUUCAAAGAUUCAUUCCAUUUAGUUCCAAAAACUUUCAAAAGUCAUCUUCCCAUUAAAGGCGCUGUCACAGUGUUCACUGAUGUGGCUGGCAGGUCCCACAGAUCAGUAUUUACCUGGAAAGACCUGAACACUUAAAAGUGGGAAGCUGAUUUUCAGACCAUUGAUGGUUCUCCCCAGAUUGCGGAGCUUUUUGAAGUUGUGAGGCCCUUUAGGAAAUUCCAGCAACCAUUUAACUUAGUGACUGAUUCAUCUUGUGUUGCCGGGAUAGCUGAUGGAGCAGAGCAUGCUCUGCUCAAAGACGUGCAAAACAAACAGCUGUUUUCCUUGCUUUCAGAAUUAAUCUGGCUGAUCUUUCAUCGAGAGCAACCCUAUCAUAUUCUACAUGUAAGAUCCCACACUGACAUGCCUGGCUUCCUUACUGAGGGGAACCAGAGGGCAGAUGCAUUGGCAAUGACAGUCACCACCACAAUUACUUCACCAACUUUACCUGACAUUUUUAAACAAGCACAAUUGAGCCACAUGUUCUACCACCAAAACACGCCAGCCCUGGCACGUCAGUUGAUAUUGUCACAAGAACAAGCCCCUGCCAUUGUAGCCACAUGUCCAAAUUGCCAAUCCCAUGCCCUUCCAACAGUAGCUACAGGGGUCAAUCCUAGGGGACUGAAUGCUCUUGAGCUGUGGCAGUCAGACAUUACUCAUAUCCCACCUUUUGGGAAAUUAAAAUAUAUUAACGUAUCUAUAGAUACAUUUUCUGGCACAAUCUUUGCAUCUCUGCAUGCAGGAGAGAAAGCCAAAGAUGUCACCAAGCACUUUUACAUGGCCUUUGCUACCCUAGGAGUUCCAAAAAAGAUUAAGACAGAUAAUGGACCAAGUUACACCUCCAAAGCAUUUCAGAAUUUUCUCUCAGCUUGGGGAAAUCCCCAUCACACCGGCAUUCCUCACAACCCUCAGGGACAAUGAAUAAUAGAACGCACACACAAAGAAAUUAAGAAACUACUAGAUUUACAAAAAGAUUCUGCCCUUUUAAUGACACCUCAAGAAAGACUCUGCAAAGCACUAUAUGUGCUCACUUUUCUUAACUGCCAUUCAAAAGAUCCAAAUCCUUCAAUCCUUCGGCAUUUUCAUAACAACACAUUUGCCCAUCUCAAAGAACGCCCACCUGUGCUGAUCAGAGACCCUGAGUCCCACCAAAUUAAAGGUCCUUUUCCACUAAUAACCUGGGGCCGAGGGUACGUGUGUGUUUCAACAGACACAGCAUUGAAGUGGAUUCCAGGCCACUUUGUCAAACCCUACCUAGACACAGAUCAGCCUGCUGACCCGCCCAGGAAAAGCCAAGAUGCAUCUGAUCAGCCAGACACCGCAGCAGAUGCAGUCGCUUGGAAGCAUUGGAAGAAGAAGACCAGAAUUCCCAACAUUGUAGCACGAACUCUCAUCACAAAAAGAUAUUUUCCCCAUCAUACCUUGCUGCAGAACCCCUCCUUUCCUCCCCAACUAUCCCUAUCCCUUUUCCCACAUACCUUGCCCCCAAUCCAUCCCACUAGUCCCCACACAUCUCUUUCCUGCUUGUGUCCUAUUAUUAUUAGAAAAGGGGGAGGGUGAGGAGAGUGACUGAAAAGAGUGUACAGAAAUUUAAUGUCAUAUGUUUCUCUUGCUAUUUGCUACAGCAGAAUCACCCUGGAAGGCCCCCUGGAAAGAAUGAAAUUCAAACGAGUGCUUUUCACUGCAAUCAUUAUUCUGCUCCAUCCGUGGACAGCAGAAGGGUGCAUGGUGCAACAACCGACAGAAGAUGUAUGGCUGACUCUGGCAAAAACUCUGAAACAAGAUAAGAUCUGCUUGUCAAUGGGCAGCGUGGACAAUCCUCUAUCUACGUGCCUGGUGGGAAUGCCUGUCACAAAAAGAUUAUCCAUAUGCGGGGAAGAAACCAAAUCCAGUUGAUACCUGGGACACCUAGACAAAGAUUAUACCACAUGCCAGACAGGAGCGUCAAGAGUUAGAUCUCUUGGGCUCUGCUCCAGCUACAUACUGUGUUAGGUUGUUCUGUCUACAAAACACACCCAUUUGGCAUGACUCUGCAGUCUCAGGCACAAUAACUCAGAAAGAUGUAACACCUAAUAGCAGAAAGCAUAAUUCAGCCACAUGGUGCAACUAUACCUCUAGCACACCACCUGAGUCCAGUGAUGGUCCCAGAGUGUCACCGAGAGGCGUGUUUCUUAUCUGCGGUAACAGAGUGUGGGCAGGGAUCCCAUCAAAGAUCAAAGGAGGUCCCUGCAGCCUCGGACAGCUGACUGUCCUCACCCCAAACACAUCACAAAUUAUAAAUUGGCAGAAUCAAGAAUGAUUGGCACGCAAAAAGAGAUCUUACAGUCAAUUCGACCCAAAUUGUGAUGACAAAAUUUAUGAUUGGAGAGAAUCCAAAAGAGUCUCUGCGUCCAUUUUUCUACCUUGGUACGCAGCUGCAAAGGCUCUCUCUCUCUCUGGGUGAAAUUUCCCACCUGGGGUGUUGGCUCAGCUGUCAGGCCAAAGCUGCCUCCGCAGCCCUGUCAGAUCUGCUCACGGAAGAAGAAACCACCAGGCACGCCACCCUACAAAAUAGAGCUGCCAUUGAUUUUCUCCUUCUGGCACACGGUCACAGCUGUCAGGACUUUGCUGGUCUGUGCUAUUUUAAUUUAACAUCUAAAAGCACCUCCCCACAUGCCAGCACUCAGCAAAUUUGAAACCAAUCCGCAGGUGGCUUGUACCAAUUUUCAAAAAUUUGGUGUGGAUUUAAGUUGUCAUUUUUAUGAUAAUGGUUGCCCUGAGUUGUUUCAAAAGAGUAAUAGAAAAGUCACUUGGAAAAAUUUAUUUAAUAAAGAAAGAAGGGGGAGAUGUGGGGGUCAUGGGUGAGAAAGCUAUCUCAGGAAUGCCCUGGGAAAGCACCAUUGUCUAAGUCAGGGAAAAUUUAUUCCUUUCCCAUGGUUCAAAUGCUGUACUCCCUUUCCCAUCCCACUCAUCCUGUACCCGUUGUAUCUUUCAUUAGUUGCUCCUGUGAAAACUUUUCCCCUCCCAUCCCCCUCCAUGUAGCUGUGCACAAAAUCUGUAACUUUCCCCAGAGAUCUCGCACUGGCCCUGGUGUCCCUCUGCUGGUUGUUACCAUCCCUGCUGUCUCUCCAGUCCACCGUGUGUCCCUCAGCCUACCCUCCGUGUUUUCCUAUCCUUUUUGGGCCCUGCAAUAAAUCAGUUGAAAUUAUCCAGGACUCGAGCUGCCAUCCUUCUAUCUGGUGAAGAGAAAUAUCUAGCCAGGGUCCAGCGGGUGAAAAUCCUGACCCCGGCAACCUUGUUCUUUUCAAUUUCUAUGACAUCACACACAGUCCUUAAACACACACAGCCAUCACCUAUAUACACUAGUACCGUUUAUUGGUUGGUCUCUGGGUGGAUCUCAAAGUGGCAAAUGCCUUGGUCAUUGUCAAGGCAUAUGUCUUGAGCACUAAUCACAUUACUGUGACAGAUAAAUCCCUGUUGUUCUUGAGCAAUGCAAGGUUCCGAGUUUAUGGUUUGCCAUC